GCCUCCUUAUCCCGAUAGCUAUCGGGAUGGUAGAGCAACUGACUUGUAAUCAGUAGGUCGUUGGUUCGAUCCCGACAGGAGGCU
rnacentral:tRNA from 1 species